rnacentral:lncRNA from 1 species
CUGGGAGUUCUCUGCUGCUGCAGCAUAAGCCCCUCUGGGAGGAGCUGUCCCUUUAUUUGCUGUGGAGCACUCUGCUGUCCCGUGAGGAAUAAAAAAUAACAGCGGUGGCUUCCAGUAUGCUCGGCAUGAACGAUGUGGCUGCCAAGAACCAAGGCUUGAUCCUCGUGUUCCACAAAAAGAACGGCUCAGUGUAUUUAGCACAUUGCUCCAAGUGAUUAAUCCAGCCAAUAAAGGCGGAGGUUUUUCCUAAGGGGUCGUCCCUUCAACACAGAGUAAUUCUGCCUGGAGGCUAUUUAGUGAAGAACCUUGCUGGUUUUGGGCCCACUGGAAACUAUUUAUCGCUGUUUACAGAAGAGAAAAGCCGGGCCACCAGAUUAGCAACCAAAUCUAAGACUGAUUUCAAAGUACAUUCUCCGAUAGAACAAUACCCAUCUUUCCAGUUCCGGGAUGGGAGCGGAUACCUGAGUAAAACAUCACUGUCGAAAGGCAGCCUGACUUUCACCAACUGUGGGGACAAAAAGAAUAUGCAUACCUUCCAGAAGAAAACACUGUAGCUAGGCCUCAAAGGUUCAUUAUCAAAUGAUUUCCAUGAGGUCGAGAGGUUUCCAGCAGUGAAUGGAGCAUCUCAGCCUUGGUUUCACAAAGGAGAGAUGGACCUAGGUGCACAAGGAUCUGUCAUGUGCAAUUGUGUUUACUUGUGCCUGUUUGCUAACCUCCAGCUUCGUGGAACAGGUCCCCUGAUCUGGUUCACAGCAUGGCCCUGCCAGGAGCUGGAAUUGGGAAGAUUGAGGAGUGAUGCAAUGUGGCAUGAGGACAAAAAAGAUGUGCUUGGAGCACGAAGAACUUGGCCUGAGGUGUGCAGAGUACGGAGGCAAACAGAAGUUGCAUCGUCAGUUUUAAUUUCUGCACUUGGACUGAAUUAUUUACAAAGAGAUGAGAUCGCAGCAGGCUGA